UACGUAGGGUGCGAGCGUUAAUCGGAAUUACUGGGCGUAAAGCGUGCGCAGGCGGCUUUGCAAGACAGAUGUGAAAUCCCCGGGCUCAACCUGGGAACUGCAUUUGUGACUGCAUGGCUGGAGUGCGGCAGAGGGGGAUGGAAUUCCGCGUGUAGCAGUGAAAUGCGUAGAGAUUUGGAAGAACACCAGUGGCGAAGGCGACUCACUGGACACGUAUUGACGCUGAGGUGCGAAAGCGUGGGGAGCAAACAGG
rnacentral:rRNA from 1 species